AGUAGCAGUUUAUUCUUUUCCUUGAUGAGAUGAAGGUAUCCGUUAUUUUUACAGCCAUUUUACUGGCAGCAACAUGUUUCUUCACCAGUUUAGCGUACCCAGCACAUGAAAUUGGAUACUUAUCAACUCGCCCUCGUCCAAAAGUUGGUCCUGUUACCACCCGUAAAUUCACUGUGUAGGGUGUACUGCUUUGUCUGUAUACAUCCUUCAAAAAGUAAAAGAAAUAUGAACAAAAAUGUAGCUUGUAUAUUAUUCUGCGGUGUGGUUUAUUAGUUUUUAACUACCUGUUUAUAUAAUCAAUAUAAUCAAUAAAAAAGCUAAUUUUUCCACAAA